ACUCCUACGGGAGGCAGCAGUGGGGAAUAUUGCACAAUGGGCGCAAGCCUGAUGCAGCGACGCCGCGUGGGGAUGACGGCCUUCGGGUUGUAAACUCCUUUCGCUAGGGAAGAAGCCACUUUAGUGGUGACGGUACCUGGAUAAGAAGCACCGGCUAACUACGUGCCAGCAGCCGCGGUAAUACGUAGGGUGCGAGCGUUGUCCGAAUUACUGGGCGUAAAGAGCUCGUAGGUGGUUUGUCGCGUCGUCUGUGAAAUCCCGGGGCUUAACUUCGGGNUGCAGGCGAUACGGGCAUACUAGAGUGCUGUAGGGAGACUGGAAUUCCUGGUGUAGCGGUGAAAUGCGCAGAUAUCAGGAGGAACACCGAUGGCGAAGGCAGGUCUCUGGGCAGUUACUGACGCUGAGGAGCGAAAGCAUGGGUAGCGAACAGGAUUAGAUACCCUGGUAGCUACGAGU
rnacentral:rRNA from 1 species